rnacentral:tRNA from 1 species
GGCUCCAUAGUGUAGUGGUUAGCACGUCUGCUUUACAAACAGAAGGUCCUGGGUUCGCGCCCCAGGUGGAGCCA